rnacentral:rRNA from 1 species
UGCGAACUCCUACGGGAGGCAGCAGUGAGGAAUCUUCCACGAUGGGCGAAAGCCUGAUGGAGCAAAGCCGCGUGCAGGAUGAAGGCCUUCGGGUUGUAAACUGCUUUUAUAAGUGAGGAUUAUGACAGUAACUUAUGAAUAAGGAUCGGCUAACUACGUGCCAGCAGCCGCGGUCAUACGUAGGAUCCGAGCGUUAUCCGGAGUGACUGGGCGUAAAGAGUUGCGUAGGUGGUUCGAUAAGCGAAUAGUGAAAUCUGGUGGCUCAACCAUUCAGACUAUUAUUCGAACUGUUGAACUCGAGAGCAGAAGAGGUAGCUGGAAUUUCUAGUGUAGGAGUGAAAUCCGUAGAUAUUAGAAGGAACACCGAUGGCGUAGGCAGGCUACUGGGCUGUUUCUGACACUGAGGCACGAAAGCGUGGGGAGCAAACAGGAUUAGAAACCCUGGUAGUCCUAUC